CAGGAGAGAUGGCCAUGUGUAACCUCGGCAACAGUCAUGGGACCCAACAGGAAACUCUGGCCUGGACUUCAUCAUCGAAGAACACUGGAAAGCCUUUCCUGCCUUGAUUUUGGUGACAUCUAGCUUGCAACCUGAUGUUUUGUCUACAGACUGAUAGUUUAUGUCCUCUCACAGCUGUUCUAAACUUAUCACCUAAACAUUCUAAUAAAGCAUAUUAUUUACAUGACA